rnacentral:rRNA from 1 species
ACAUGGCUUUUUGAGUAUUUAAAUAAUAAAAAGUCUGGCCUGCCCAGUGAGUGUAUUAAAUGGCUGCAACGAGAGUUGUACUAAGGUAGCGCGAUAAUUUGUCUCUUAAUUAGAGAAUGGUAUGAAGGGUUAGACGUGGGAUUAUUGUCUCUAAAAAAUACAGUUAAGUUUCCUUUUAAAUGAAAAGGUUUAAAUUUAUUAAAAGACGAGAAGACCCUGUCGAGCUUAAUUAAAUAAAAAACUAGAUAUGGUUAAAUGAAAAGUGUUAAUAGUUUAAUUGUUGGCUGAGUUUUUAAUUGAAGUUUAGUUGGGGAGAGCUGAGUUUAAGGUAAUAAACUUAAGAAAUACUAAAGAUCCUCUUUGAGAGAAGUUAGCAAAAGCUACCGCAGGGAUAACAGCGUAAUUCUUUUUAAGAGAUCUUAUUGAGGGAAGAGUUUGCGACCUCGAUGUUGGAUUAGAAAAACUUUUUGGUGUAGCAGCUAGAAGUUGUAAGACUGUUCGUCUUUUAAUUUUCUACGUG